CAUGGGGUUAACUGUUCAUAAUUAAAUACAAGACUAGUUGUCGAAAAUGGUAAUGAUCCCAAGGUCAAACAAUGAUAAGCUGUCACAAGGUUCAAAACAGUUGAAAUUGACAACAUAACAGUGGAAGGUGAAAAAAAGAAAGGGCGCAAAAAAUAAAAAAAAAAUCCCCAUUUUGCUAUUUUGGCCCAGAAGCUUGCCUGCAAAAAGAGGGAAAAGGAAAGUAAAUAGCGAGACAAGCAAAGAAAUAUCUUUCUUUCACCAAUAUAUAGUUAAUAGCUAGCCAGCCACACAACCACUUCAUGAUUCGUUUCAGUACAUCAAUAAAACAGAGCACGACGACAAGCACAACGAGGGGAAAUAAGGAGGUAAUCCCAGAAUUCCUCAUGACAUUUAUCUGGUUUUUAAUGCCAGGCCACAUCACAUAUGCAAGACACCCAUACCCAAUUAUCACUAUAAGAUUUAGAACAAGAGUAUGUCUUCCAUCUUCAUCACCUCCAAAUUAGGGCAGGAAACAGGGAUAAAGACUGAAACUGACGAAAUUAGGAGAAGAGAGUUCGCGAAGUAGAGAUAGACAUAUUUCUAGAGUUGCUACGAGCAAUCAAAGCCUACAGGAGAUCAAGAUCAAAGAAGAUGGAACUUCAGAAAUCAG
rnacentral:misc_RNA from 1 species